AGUGAACGCUGGCGGUAGGCCUAACACAUGCAAGUCGAACGGCAGCACAGUAAGAGCUUGCUCUUACGGGUGGCGAGUGGCGGACGGGUGAGGAAUACAUCGGAAUCUACUUUUUCGUGGGGGAUAACGUAGGGAAACUUACGCUAAUACCGCAUACGACCUACGGGUGAAAGUAGGGGAUCUUCGGACCUUGCGCGAUUGAAUGAGCCGAUGUCGGAUUAGCUAGUUGGCGGGGUAAAGGCCCACCAAGGCGACGAUCCGUAGCUGGUCUGAGAGGAUGAUCAGCCACACUGGAACUGAGACACGGUCCAGACUCCUACGGGAGGCAGCAGUGGGGAAUAUUGGACAAUGGGCGCAAGCCUGAUCCAGCCAUACCGCGUGGGUGAAGAAGGCCUUCGGGUUGGAAAGCCCUUUUGUUGGGAAAGAAAAGCAGCAGGUUAAUACCCCGCUGUUCUGACGGUACCCAAAGAAUAAGCACCGGCUAACUUCGUG
rnacentral:rRNA from 1 species